UUGAUAUAUUCAUUCUCUUUCUCAAAUACUGUUACAUGACGUUUUUUUAAACCCUAAAAAUCGUUUUCUUCUGCAUCCUCCUUCUGCUUAAAGCCUCCAUAAUCAAAUUGAUAUCAGUCACUAAAGAUCUUACUAUCUAGGAGCCUCCAAAGCGCUUCAAUCGACCAAGGAUAUGAUCUCUUAAACAUAUAAUUAUGCUGAUGGAAGGUGAAACAUAAUCUCUUAAACAAAGUUGAGUUUUUCAUCUUGGAGUUGACCAUGGAUUGCAUCAAAGGCUAUACUAAAAUUUGUUUAUAGAUGCUAAAAAUUCAAAUUUGAUGCAUGUACAAGUGUAUGAGUGCAAUACAACUUCUUUUAGUUUUCACUAAUAGAGGCAAAAAGGGAGUGUCAUUGGGGGUAACAAGUUAAAAUUGGUAAUUUUUGUACAACGUCAGAUUGGAGUGAGUAGAUAUGUUUUUUUCUUGUUUUUUAAGAUUGUUUGAAUAAUGGUUUAAGUUAUAUACUUAAUAAGAUGUUUUAUUUAUUAAAUGUAAUUUUGUUAAGCCUGGUGCAGAUUGAGAGACAGCAAAGGGAUAUUAACACAAAUCUUUUUGGAUUUGAUACAGAAUGAGAGGCUGCAAAGAGAUAUUAAAAACACAAAUCUUUUUGGAUAUGACUGGACCGAGGAUAUAAGACAGCAUAUAUAAGAUGGCUUUUUGAUGUUGCUUUUAUAUUUUCAUAUUGGUUAUCUUGGCUUUUUAAGGUGCUCUUAUAUUUAUUAUAUUGGUUGCUGGAGUUUCUAAUGAAAGUUGUCUCUUUAGGUCUUUCCAAAUAGAAUAUGUUAGAUUUUUUUUAUGUUAUCUCUUUUUGUGAGAAUAUGGAACUUUGUUAGAUAUAAUUGAAGCUUAUAUUUAGUAAGGUUACAUUUGUGGUAGAAUAAUGACUUAUUCAUGGAUAUUACUUUUUAUUUUUGUAUUAUUACAUAUUAGAAAAUUAUCACCUUAAUUUCAUAUGGUUAAAUAUGUUCAUACUGUAUAUAUUGUAUGGCAAAUUGUUGGAUUAGCCUGAGAAUCCUGGGAAAAAGUAUCACAAGACUCCCAUAAUGUAAGAUUUUUGUAACUCAUUUUUUAUAUUCAUAUGUGUUAUUUCCAAUACUUUGUUUAUUAUUAUUAUUAUUAUUAUUAUUAUUAUUAUUAUUAUUAUUAUUAUUAUUAUUAUUAUUAUUAUUAUUAUUAUUAUUAUUAUUAUUAUUAAUGUUUUUCACUUUUAAAUGAUUGGGAUUAUUAUGAACUAUUGUUAUUCGGUUGGUUUUGAAAUGAUCGAUCGCAUACCUCAUAAACAAAGGUUUAUCUUGAACACCCUACAAUCUAACGCUAUAGUUGAAAUAGGUAUGCAUGCUGAUUUAUGUGUUACCGUGUAUUGAAAACUUAUGUUUGUUUAUUGAAAUUCUGCGUGUGCAGAACAUACUUUUGCUAAAGUUAGAGGAAGAACCCUACAUUCUAAAUCUGUUCAUCCGCUAAUUCUUUCACAACGAUUCUUCAAUCGGCUUCACAGGAACUCAGGCUUAAUACCAGGAGGCUGGAGGCUGUAAUAAUCAAAACCCUAAAUCUACAAAGUGAGUCAUUCUCUUUUAUUAAAAAUGCUUUCAAAACCUUAAAUGUUUUCCAAUUGAUACUUAUAUUACAGUGAUUAAGUAUUUGUAUUCUUACUGGGAAACUACCAUCAGUAUGUGGGGUUUUGUAUACACUACUUGAUAAUCUUCACUAUUGGACAAUGGGUUAGCCAAUGAGUGAUAUGACCACAGUCACUGGAACUACCACCGAGUGACAAAUACUAUUUUAAAAUAGUUUCUUUACUAUUGGACAAUGAGUUAGCUAAUAGUAGUUUGGUAAGAUAAACAAAUGU